rnacentral:rRNA from 1 species
UAGGGGUUUGAUCCCUGGGCUCAGAUUGAACGCUGGGCGGGUAUGCCUAAUACAUGCAAAGUCGAACGGAAACGAUGGAAGCUUGCUUCCAGGCGUCGAGUGGCGGACGGGUGAGUAAUACUUGGGAAUCUGCCCAUUAGUUGAGAAAACACGAGAAACUCGUGCUAAUACCGAAUAAUCUCUUCGGAGGAAAGAGACCUCUAUUUAUAAGUUCUCGCUGAUGGAUGAGCCCAAGCAAGAUUAGCUAGUUGGUAAGGUAAUGGCUUACCAAGGCUACGAUCUUUAGCUGUUCUGAGAGGAUGAUCAGCCACACUGGGACUGAGACACGGCCCAGACUUUACGGGAGGCAGCGGUAGAGAAUAUUGCACAAUAAAGAAACCCUGAUGCAGCAAUACCGCGUGUGGAAGAAGGCUUUCGAGUUGUAAAGCACUUUCAAUAGAGAAGAAAAGUUUAAAGUUAAUACCCCUAAGCCUUGACGUUAUCUAUACGAGAGGC